AAUGUUAUAAAAUCAGCGCAACUUCCAUGGUAUUUUGAAAAAUCGCUACUAAUCAAUACGGAUCUCAGUCACUUUCACUUCACUAGAAGAUCGAACAUCAAUAGGAUUUGGGCUCCAUCGUCACAUUCACAUCAAACGAACUUAGCAAAUAUUACUUUUGAAUAGAUCUAAAAAAACUGCUUUCCACCAUUGAGAUUAGUCAUGUCAUUGAUCUCAAGUAACAAUGACAGCUUGUUCUUGAAGAAUAGUGGAUGAAAAAUUGCCAUUGUAGAGAAUUUUUAAUUAUUUCUCUUUAAAAAGAAAAUGUGAAGGUAUGAUAUUUGACCAAGCAAGAUACAUUUCAACAAUGGAUAAAAAUGUCAAACACACUUUAAUGAGCGUCGGAAUAUAUACUCACAAAUCUUUGGACGGAAUACAAACAAGAUGUCUUCGCCUUCGAUAUGUAUAUUUAACUGACAUUUGAUUGACAUGUUUCUAUCAUAUAUUUAUAAUUAUUACUCUGAUCUUUCUUACACUCCCCAGGGCUGACAUAAUAAAAAUGUUGUCAACAAACAAAACAAAAAAAAACAAAACUAUUUUUUGCUAAGAAUGUA